rnacentral:rRNA from 1 species
UCCGUAGGGUGCAAGCGUUGUCCGGAAUUCUUGGGCGUAAAGAGCUCGUAGGCGGUUCGUCGCGUCGGCUGUGAAAACCCGGAGCUCAACUCCGGGCCUGCAGUCGAUACGGGCGGACUGGAGUUCGGCAGGGGAGACUGGAAUUCCUGGUGUAGCGGUGAAAUGCGCAGAUAUCAGGAGGAACACCGGUGGCGAAGGCGGGUCUCUGGGCCGAUACUGACGCUGAGGAGCGAAAGCGUGGGGAGCGAACAGG